rnacentral:misc_RNA from 1 species
GAUGAAGAACGCAGCGAAAUGCGAUAAGUAAUGUGAAUUGCAGAAUUCAGUGAAUCAUCGAAUCUUUGAACGCACAUUGCGCCCGCCAGUAUUCUGGCGGGCAUGCCUGUUCGAGCGUCAUUUCAACCCCCAGGCCCCCAGUGCCUGGUGUUGGGGAUCGGCCCAGCCUUCCUGUAAGGCCGCCGGCCCCGAAAUCUAGUGGCGGUCUCGCUGUAGUCCUCCUCUGCGUAGUAGCACAACCUCGCAGUUGGAACGCGGCGGUGGCCAUGCCGUUAAACACCCCACUUCUGAAAGUUGACCUCGGAUCAGGUAGGAAUACCCGCUGAACUUAAGCAUAUCAAUAAGCGGAGGA